rnacentral:rRNA from 1 species
AUUGAACGCUGGCGGCAGGCCUAACACAUGCAAGUCGAACGAGUGGCGGACGGGUGAGUAAUGUCUGGGAACCUGCCUGAUGGAGGGGGAUAACUACUGGAAACGGUAGCUAAUACCGCAUACCAUCAGAUGUGCCCAGAUGGGAUUAGCUAGUUGGUGGGUUAACGGCUCACCAAGGCGCCGAUCCCUAGCUGGUCUGCGCGGAUGACCAGCCACACUGGAACUGAGAACUGGUCCAGACUCCUACGGGAGGCAGCAGUGGGUAAUAUGUGACAAUGGGCGCAAGCCUGAUGCAGCAAUGCCGCGUGUAUGAAGAAGGCCUUCGGGUUGUAAAGUACUUUCAGCGGGGAGGCGUUACCCGCAGAAGAAGCACCGGCUAACUCCGUGCCAGCAGCCGCGGUAAUAC